CGAUUAUGUGCGGAGGAUAAUUCGUAUGGGGAUUAUACGGCGACGGUAAAAAUAGUAAAUUUUAGCUAGUAAACGGUAAUUUUUAUUCGGGUAUUAUUUUUUCGGGGUGUUGAAUUUUGGAAUUAUGGGUUAAAAGGGGUGUUGGGUCGGCUGGGCCGAGCCCAACCCAUUUCUUCUUCUUUCUCUUCUCCCUCCCUCCCGAUUUUUCUCUCUUCUCACCCGGUUUUCCCCUCUCUACACCCAGCAGAAUUCCGGCCGUCCUCCCGCCGCCGUCCGACCUCCGUUCGCCGCCGGACCGGUCCCGUUCGGUCGGUCUCCCUCCCAGCAUCAUUUCUAGACCGGUGAGAGGAGCCCUAGCGCCGCCGUGAGAGAGCGGUGCCGCCCGAAAGCAAGGGCUGCCCCGAGCUUCCCUUCGCCGGAACUUCCUCCUCCGGCCACCAAUCCGGGCAAGCUUGGUAUGGUUUUGUAGCCCUCCAACCCAGCAACCUUGCCCUAAAAGGACUCACUCCCUCUUGAGCUAGGUAAGGAGAAAUUUGAGGUGGAAGUUUUAUGGUGUUUUUGAUGUUUUUAGUCGAUUUCCCUAGUUAGGCUUGGAAUUGGUGUUUGUGCAAGUUAUGAAAGUUGUAGAGCUUGAUAAGAGGAAGAUGCUGUUAAAAUUUCAUAGGUUUUGGAGGUCGCCGGAAUUGACCUCCGGCCGCCGCCGGUUGGGAGAUUUUAAUGUUGUUAAAUUUGGAAUAUUAAGGGGAGUUUAUUGAAGUGAGUUAUGGAAUUUUUGGAUGAGUUUUGGAUAGGUUUAUGAAUUUCCGAAGUGUGGUAUUUUUGGCGGGUAAUUAAUGUAGAAUCCGGCCGUUGGAUUUAAGUCGUAUUUUGGAGAGGUUGUAUUUACGACUGUGGAGUAUGAUAUUUAAGUUCGGAUCGUCCGAUGUAAGAAUAUCGAAGUUAGGCAAUAAUGAGCGUAAUUAUGGCUCUCGGGUAAUUUUNNNNNNNNNNNNNNNNNNNNAAUAUUGGAUAUUGGUUGGGAAAUUAAUAAUUAUAUUUGGAACAGGACGUGAAGAGGCUCGAGCAGACGAGACCCAGAUUGACAUCAGGCUUAGGCCUAAUUCGUGAGUGGUACGUUUAUUUUAAAUAAAUGCAUGCUAUAGUUCAUGGUUGAACAAUUAAUAUUGCGGAAUAUUUUAACGUCAUUUUAAUUUGACGAUUUUUAUUUUCUCUUGGAGAGCUACCGAAAAUGGGAUUUUCGGUGAAUAUAAAUAUGUAUUUAUGAGAGAGUAUGUAUAUAAAUGCUAGCUAGCCAUAUGUGUCUGUCCACCUUAAUGGCGUAGCAUAUAGCCGCAUUAUGGUGUGACGUGAGCGUUGGACGUAAGCGUAGUAGCCCUAUAUGAGUUGUUUAAUUCAUAUAGGGGGGUAUGGACACAUAUUUAUACACCCGUCUGUCCACCUUGAUAGCGUAGUGUAGCACCGCAUUAAGGCGUGACGUGAGCGUUGGACGCGAGCGUAGUAGCCCUAUAUAGACCCAUGAAUUUAUAUAGGGAGUAUGGACGAGUAGUAAAUACAUACAUAUAUUAUAGAAUCUGAGAGGCUCGAUAUUUAUGGGAUAAAGGUUUUAUCGCUUGCGGCAUGCACUCGAUUUUCCUUAGAAUUAAUUGGGGAAACAUAAAUAUUUUAUUUAUUAAUUUAUUUUUUGUCCACUCACUCUAACGUUAUUAAAUGUUUUCCCCUGGGCCCUUCGUUUUAAAUUGCCCAGUCUGCAGAGUUCGGGUUGGAUCUAGUAGGAGACGAGGCAUAGUCACCCGCUUUUCGGCCAGUUUUCGCCAGUAGGUUGCCUGUUCAACCUACUCGUAUUUUCUUGCUUCCGCUUGUGUUUAGUAGCUCUGAAUACUUUAGAAUUUUUGUAUAUUAUGCGAUGUUCAGAAGUGUAAUAUGAAAUUUUCGAGUUAGGGUUGUCCAUCUACAAGGGAGAUUUUCUUAAUCUUUUCAGUAAAUUUUCCUUGGAGGUGGUCCCCGCACGACUUACUCUGGGUUUCAGGGUGAAACUCGGGGUGGGUCGUGUCAAGGAGGGCUACAAAACGAGCCAAGGAUCGCCGGUUUUAGUGGCCGGAGGAGGGAGCUCCGGCGAGUGAAUCACCACGGCUUCUUGCCGUGAUAACUUGAAAUUUCCGACGGGAGAGGGGCUGUCACCAACUCAGGGCUGGAGAGGGAAGGACAGGGGUCCAAACGAGACCGGUCCGGCGUCCUGGCUCGGCCGGUCGACGGCGGCAAGAGCUGGAGAAAAACCGGACACUGGAGAGGUCGGGAGAGGCUGGGAGGAGAGAAGAAAAAGAGAAGAGGAAGAGAAGAAAAAAGAGAAGGGAAGAAUGGCUUUGGGCCUCACACCCCCAAACCGGGCCAACAACCUUAUACACCAAAACCCAACUCUAAAAUUUACACCCCAAAAUAAAAUACCCUAUUAAAAAUUACCUUUUAUUAGCUAAAAUUUACCAUUUUCACCGUCGUUAUAUUUUCUCCUACGAAUCACUCUCUGAAAUAAUCGUCCCCCAAAAUCCCACUAGGGACCAAUUAAACUAUAACUUCAUUGACGGAGACGGUAAAAUUCUUAUUAUAAUCAAGCUAGUAAAUAAGGUAAAAAUUUAAGGGUCCGGAUGUGACACGUACUCCUCGAAAACAGACUAGGGUGAAUUGCCAAGCUAGAUUUCGGAUCAAUUACACUGAUGGGUGUAGAGUUUAUAUGGUGAAGAUAUUCGUUCCAGAGCAUAAUCAUGAACUAGCUACUGGGAACCAGAUUGCAUUCGUUUAUGCUCAUCGUCAUGUCAGCGACGCAGCUUUGGCUCUGACAAACACAAUGACAAGGGUUUCAAUUAGACCAUGUCACACAUAUGAGUAUAUGGUGGAGCAGGCUGGGGGAUAUUCGGUAGUGGGAUUCACCAUGAAGGACCUCUACAACAAGCUUGACCAACAACGACGGACCUCCCUAUUUGAGAGUGAUUCCAAAGGAGCGCUUUCCUACAUGAGAGCACUGGCAGCAAAAGACCCACACUUCAUAUGCAGAUUCACUACAGAUUUGGAAGACAGGUUAGUGGACAUUUUUUGGCGAGAUGGCAUUCAUUUGUUGAUUAUCAGUGUUAUGGGGAUGUGCUGAUAUUCGAUAGCACAUACAAAACCAACAAGCCAUUGGUUAUGUUUGUUGGGUCGAACAACCAUCGAGGUAGUAUUAUUUUCGGUGCUGCCCUUAUUUCGGAUGAGACUGAGGAGACAUACACUUGGUUGCUUCGUACAUUUUUGGAGUCGAUGAACGGGAAGAUGGCAAAGGCGGUACUCACAGACAGUGACGAGGCCAUGCGUAAGGCAAUUGAAACUGUGAUGCCGGAAGCAAGGCACCGUCUAUGUAUUUGGCACAUAGGUAAAAAUGCCUUUACCCACUUAAAGUCUGAGGAAAAGUUGAAGGCUUUUAACAGAUGCGUGAGGAAGAAUCAAACAGUUGAGCAAUUUGAAAGGUUGUGGCAGGAAAUGAUUGACGAACUUGAUCUCCAUGACGAUAUUUGGAUCAGGAAUAUGUAUGAAAAGAGAGACAAGUUUUGUCAAGCAUUCAUCGGUGACAUAUUUAUGGCCGGAAUGAGAAGCACACAAAUGUGUGAGGGCAUGAAUAAAGAAUUCAAGAGGGUGCUUAGUAAAGGGAAAUCCCUUGUGGAGCUUGUUGCGUUGGUGUACAGAUUACUUAUGAAACUGAGACACAAUCAAGAAAGGGAUGAAUUCAUCUAUAUGAAUUCCUUUCCUGGUGCCGUAACUCACUUGGUAGAUUUGGAGAUACAAGCCUCUUCUAUAUUCACACACGAUGUGUUUAAAUGGAUUGUAAGAGAGAUCAAGAAAAAGAGCUUUAAUACACUAAAGCAAGGAGCAGAAUGUCAUGAAGAUGGUAGUCGUGUUUACAAGCUAUCAGUAUACAAACGGCCUGAAUUUGACCACACUGUUGUUCUUGGUGCCGUAACUCACUUGGUAGAUUUGGAGAUACAAGCCUCUUCUAUAUUCACACACGAUGUGUUUAAGUGGAUUGUAAGAGAAAUCAAGAAAGAGAGCUUUAUUACACUAAAGCAAGGAGCAGAAUGUCAUGAAGAUGGUAGUCGUGUUUACAAGGUAUCAGUACACAAACGGCCUGAAUUUGACCACACUAUUGUUUACCACCCUGAGAAAGAGACUGACAGUGCAAAAGACUCGAUUAUGCUGUGUUCUUGCAGAAUUAAUGUUUCAGUACGGGGGAGUACCAUGUCGUCACAUGUUCACGGUGAUGAAAAAGAACACAUUUUUGAGCUUCACAAGUCACUGAUCGUCAAGAGAUGGUCAAAAGACGCAAGAACUGUGUGUGAGAUCCCUUAUCCAGAUCAAUCUAUGCCUAGAGAAGCAUUGGAAGUGAGCAAGUAUGGUGCUCUAACUGCCGAAUGCAAUCGAUUGUGCUUUUAUGCUUCAAAGACAGAUGCAGGGUACAACUUGUUGCAGAAGGAGAUCAGUUGUCACAUCCCGACCCUUAUAUUUUUACCUUAUUUACUAGCGUGAUUAUAAUAAGAAUUUUUACCGUCUCGAUCUUUGAGUUAAUAGUUUAAUUGGUCCCUAGAGGGGUUUCGGGGACGAUUAUGUGCGGAGGAUUAUUCGUAUGAGGAAAAUAUGACGACGGUAAAAAUAGUAAAUUUAGCUAGUAAAAGGUAAUUUUUAUUCGGGUAUUAUUUUUUGGGGUGUUUUAUUUGUAGGAGUUGGGUAUUUUAGUAUUGUUGGACCGGGUGUAGAGGCCCAUUUCUCUUUUCUCUUUUUCUCCUCUUUUCUCCUCCCGGUUCUCUCUCCCCCGAGCUUUCCCGCCGUCCGGAAUUCCGACCGCCAGACCGCCGCCGUCCGGCCGCCCCAGACCCAAUCGAUCGGUCUCUGACCCAGCUAUCUUCUAGGACCGGUAGCAGCCCCCCUAGCGCCGCCGUGAGAGAGCGGUGCCGCCCGAAAGGAUAGGCUGCCCCGAACUUCCGGUCGCCAGAACUCCCUCCUCCGGCCACCAAUCUGGGCAAGCUUGGUACGGUUUUGUAGCCCUCCUCCCGUGCAGCAACCCCUCCAAGCAGCUCCCUCCCUCUUGAGCUAGGUAAGGAGAAAUGUGGAGUUGAAAUUUCUAGGGCUUUUAAGUCGUUUUCGUUCGAUUAGCCUAGUUAGGCUUGGAAUUGGGUGAUGUGUUGGUCAUGAAAGUUGUACAGGAGAUUGAGAGGAAGAUUCUGUUAAAAUUUGGUAGCAUUUGCAGGUCGUCGGAGUUGGUCGCCGGCCGCCGCUGCCGGCGGAGCCGCCGGCGGCGCCGCCGCUGUUUUGGGAAAUUUUGUGGUUUUUGAUGUAGAAUAUUAAGAGGAUAUUAUUGAGGUGAAUUUUGGAAUUUUUGGAUGAGAUUUGGAUAGGUUUGUGAAUUUCCGAAGUUUGGUAUUUUUGGCGGUUAAUUAAUGUAGAAUCCGGCCGUAGGAUUUAAGUCGUAUUUUGAGGAGGUGGUAUUUACGACUGUUGAGUAUGAUAUUUAAGUUCGGAUCGUUCCGAUUUAAGAUUAUCGAAGUUAGGCAAUGAUGAGCGUAUUUAUGGCUCUCGGGUAAUUUUUCCUAUUUUAAUUAAAUAUUGGAUUAUUGGUUGGGAAAUUAAUAUUAUAUUUAGAACAGGACGUGAGGAGGCUCGAGCAGACGAGGCCCCAGAUCGACAUCAGGCUUAGGCCUAAUUUGUGAGUGGACUUUUAUUUGAAAUAAUUUGCAUGCUAUGGUUCAUGAUUGAACAUUUCUUUUUGUUGGAGUAUUGACGUCAAUUAAUUUUGACGCUUUUAUUUCUCUUAGAGAGUUACCGAAAAUGGGAUUUUCGGUGAAUAUAAAUAUGUAUUUAUGAGAGAGUAUGUAUACAAAAUGCUAGCUAGCCAUAUGUGUCUGUCCACCUUAAUGGUGUAGCAUAUAGCCGCAUUAUGGUGUGACGUGAGCGUUGGACGUAAGCGUAGUAGCCCUAUUUGAGUGUUUAAUUCAGAUAGGGGGUAUGGACACAUAUUUAUACACCCGUCUGUCCACCUUGAUGGCGUAGUGUAGCACCGCAUUAAGGCGUGACGUGAGCGUUGGACGCGAGCGUAGUAGCCCUAUAUAGACCCAUGAAUUUAUAUAGGGAGUAUGGACGAGUGUAAAUACAUACAUAUAUUAUAGAGUCUGAGAGGCUCGAUAUUUUAUGGGAUAAAAGUUUUAUCGCUUGCGGCAUGCAUUCGAUUUUUCCUUAGAAAUUAAUUUGGGGAAACAUAAAUAUUUUAUUUAUUAUUUUAUUUUUUGUGCACUCACUCUAACGUUAUUAAAUGUUUUCCUCUGGGCCCUUCGUUUUAAAUUGCCCAGUCUGCAGAGUUCGGGUUGGAUCUAGUAGGAGACGAGGCAUAGUCACCCGCAUUUCUGCCAGUUUUCGCCAGUAGGUUACCUGUUCAACCUACUCGUGUUUUCUUGCUUCCGCUUGUGUUUAGUAGCUCUGAAUACUUUAGGAUUAUUGUAUAUUAUGGGUAGAAUUUCUGAAGGAUAAUUAUGUGAUGUUCGGAAGUGUUGAAUUAAGAGUGUAAUAUGAAAUUUUCGAGUUAGGGUUGUCCAUCUGCAAGGGAGAUUUUCUUAAUCUUUUCAGUAAAUUUUCCUUGGAGGUGGUCCCCGCACGACUUACUCUGGGUUUCAGGGUGAAAUUCGGGGUGGGUCGUGUCAUCAGUAGACUCUCAUCAAUUGUUGAAGGUUUUGCCAAAGAAAAAGAAAAAGUUCAAGCUCCGGCCACACCCAGCAAUAUGAAAGGUAAUGUUGUGAGAGACCCUAUCCCGGUUAGGACCAAAGGCAGAGAAAAAAUGACAAGAAGACUGAGGCUCCCAGACAACCGAUUACUUGUGGUUAUUGCCAAGGUAUUGGACACAACAGUCAAACAUGUAAUGUUAGGAAGGAGAAAGAAAAAGCUGAGAAGAGCAAUGAAAAUGAUGAACGAAACACUGACCCUCGUCCUUCAGUUGCAACACCUGGAAAGAGAUCCUAUGGUUAUUGCAAACGAUCUGGACACAAUACUCAAACAUGUGAUGUUAGGAAAGAGAAAGAAAAAGCUGAGAAGACAAACGAAAAUGUUGCGGGAACAAGCAAUGAUCCUCUUCCUUCGGUUGCGACACCUGCAAAGAAAACUAUUCACUGUAGUACGUGCAAAGGAGCCGAGCACACACACUGUAGAUGCCUAAAAAAAACAAUAAAAGGAGACGCCUCCCCCACAUCUGAGGAGUGAUUCCUUAUUCUGGUGAUAUAGGUGCCGAUUUUAGUUAUAGUUGUAGUUCAAAUUUCUUGUACUCUGUGUUUGGCAUUUCAUUUUACUUUUCAGUAAUGUCAACGUGAAUUUAGAUUUUACUUUAGAUUUCCUUGUUUUGUUUUUGCUUUGUGAAUGGUCUAUCUCGCCGUAGGACACUUUUUCAAAAAGUCUACAUGAAGUAAAAAAACUUUCCUAAGAGAAGUAGAUGAUUAUGUAAUAACUAUAGAGCUAAUAAGGUAAUACUACGGAGAACACAUCUCCAGAAAGUCUACAUUGUAUCAUGCUUUUAUCAUAAACGAAGAGUAGAACGUCUUUGCAGAAAAAGUAGCCCAUUCAAUACUGUCGAACAAUUAUCAUCCACUAUUGGUAAGGUUUACGAUGAUGGAGCACUAGUAACCUUGCAUAAAUAUAGGCUGUAAACUGAAAUAUAUUGAUGUAAGUAGAUGGUAAUGAUGCACAUAAUUAUUACAAUGGACAUAAUUAAUGAUUAUUAUAAAUACAUGGAUUAUUUUAUGUUAAUAAAAACACACGGAAUUUAAUGCAAAAUUCAUUCCAGUAGACCAAUAAGGAAAUUAUUCCUAUUUGGGAUUAGGGUUUGUGAUGAUGGAUAAAGCACUAGUAACCUUGCAUUUAUAUAGGGUUAUUUUAUGAUGAUCGAGCUCUCUAGUCACCUGUAGUGUACAAUGGGUGUAGGGUUUAUGAUGAUGAAGCCUCACUAUUCUUAUAUACCUGAUGGACCAUAUAGAUGUCAUUUUAGCUUUUUAGUGUCGAGAAGCACAUUGUAAGUAAUCUCCUACUUGUUAUGGGAUUUCCACCCCAUGAUUUAUUUUAUGUUCACUAAGAUGGACCCCCAUAUCAAAUUCAUUUUAUAUGUUCACUACGCUUAUAUAUGCCGCAAUAUCAUAUAUGUUCAGAGAGAGAGAGAGAGAGAGAGAGAGAGAGAGAGAGAGAGAGAGAGAGAGAGAGAGAGAGAGAGAGAGACGACGACGACGACGACGUACGUACGUACGUACGUACNNNNNNNNNNNNNNNNNNNNGAGAGAGAGAGAGAGAUGGCAGAGCACGACCUAACCCCGCAUUGUAUCAAUAUGCCAAAUUUCAGUUUGAGUGCGGUAACUAAUCUGGUGCUGUUGAUUAUCUGUUUCAGUACAGGGCUUUAUGCACCAACAGCGAGAGGAGUCUCAGUGCUUUGUGGGGAAAGCUGGCAGCUGAGAUAUUGAUGCAAAACUGGGAUAUUGCUCUUGAGGAGCUUAACCGCCUCAAGGAAAUUAUUGAUUCCAAGAAUUUCAGUUCGCCCCUGAUUCAGGAGUUUUUGACAUGUGUUUAUGUUAAUUAUGGCAUGUGUUUAUGUGAUAUUGAAUGAUCCCUUCCUUGGAAAGCGAGUUGAAGAAGGCAAUUUCACUAUUGUACCAUUGAGGGAUGAAUUCCUUGAAAAUGCUCGUCUAUUUAUCCCUUAUCUUUGAGUCUUACUGCCGCAUACAUCAGCGCAUUUCCUUCAUCUAGACUGAGAUUUGAAUUACUAGAGGUUUUGUUGACUUGUAAGUAGAGGUUUUCAUUAGUAACAUGAGGUUUGUCAGAUCAGACUGUAAUUUACUUCCCCAUGAUUUAUUUGUCUGUACUUUUGGAGGUAAUGUGUAUGGAAAUUAUUUUCUUAAAAAAAAAUGCUUCAUUUUAGGGCUUGAGUUUAAUGUAUAUAGUGUUUAUGAUCGAUGAUGGAGCUAAUGUCAUCUAUCCCGUAUAUAGGGUUUUAGGUUUAUAAUCUUGGUAUAAUCUUCUAGGUAGUGUGACCUUUAAAGUAUGAUCGAACAUGCUUAUAUAUAGUAAACUCCUACUUGUAUCGGGAUUUCCACUUCGAUCACAAUUAUAUCUUCAUUAUGCUUAUAUAUGUUGUGAUCGAUGGACAAUAUAACAUUCAUUUACUAGUACAAUGCUUGACUUUAGUUCUUGAGUUUCAUUGUAUAUAGUGCUUAUGAUGAUCGAACUAACGUCACCUAUCGUGUAUAUAGCAUUUGAUGUUUAUAAUGUUAGAGCUAACAUCACCUUAAAGUAUGUACGGUUUCAGAUGUCGUUUAUAAUGUUUAAGGUUUACUCUCUAUAUAGUAUCUGGAACACUUUGGACAUAUCCGCUCAAGGUUCUAAAAAACGUUGGGCACUAGUCGGGCGGACAGCGCCCAAAAGAUUAAUCGGGGAUUAAUCGGUUUUCUAUUUUUGUAUUUAUUUUAAUUUUUUAAUACCAAAUAAUUAUCUAAUACAAUUAAAAUUACAAUUGACAUGUAAUUAUAUAAUUAUUAAUACAAUUAUUUUGGUUGAAAAGUCAAUUUACAUGUCUCAUUAAAUUUGAGUGUAGUUAUUUAGAUUAAAUCUGAUAAGUAAUUAAAUAUACAUUUGGGUAGUAUUGAUUAAAUUAAGAAAAAGACAAAAAUUAUUGGAUGUAUAGGCCCAAAGGGAGAGCCCAACAAUUUAACCCAUUGCUAAGUCAAUUUUCCCUACACAUCUUUAUCCCUUCCGCCUCCUCUUUCGCUUCUGCUGCAUUGUCCUUCUCUUCUGCAAAGCUGCAAACAUCGUCCCUCCUCCUCUCAUGACCACCGCCCACCGCAUCUAGGACUCCAGGUCAGCCCCUUCCUCGUCGUCCUCUGCUCCUCUCUUCUUCCCCAUUCAAUUGCACCAAAAUCCCAGAUUUCAGUUACUGAAAUCCGAUAAAAAAAAAAAAAAAAACUAGUCGGCGCUCCGCCCAGCCCCGCCUAGGCGGCCACAAAACGGCCGGCCGACUACACCAGGCGAUUUGCCUGAAAUCGGGGCGGCUUACGGGCUCCGGGCGCCCAGGCGGCGCCUAGGCCGUUUUUUAGAACAUUGUAUCCGCUACCAAUGUCGGUUUAGGGUUUAGGGGUUAGGGUUUGUGUGCAAGAUAAAGUAAGCAUAAGCACAGUCAAAACCAGAAAUUAUAACCCUUGACUUCGAUAGAAGAGUACACUUGUCUCUCUAUUUGUGUAGUAGGCGUGAUUUUUGAAAUUUCUUUUUUCCAAAAUCUUCCUUCACGCGUUUGAAAUUUGAAAUUUGGACUUGGAUAGGCGGGCAUUUAGUGGCUAAAAAUUUGAGUUUUCAUUUUCCCUUUCAUUUUCAUUUAGCGGGACUUUCCAUAUUCAUCUCGAAUUUUGUAUUGAAACUGAAAGGGUUUUAGACGCCACACAUAACCCUAACCCUAAACAAGCAGUAUAAACCGCCCCGAUGUAAAAUUCUCUGCAACUCAUGUUCUCUUCUCUCUAAACUCCAAAUUGUGAACGAACGUUUCAGAAGCCAUGGCCCGGCAAAAGCUGACCACUCACAUGACCGGUAUUCCUCGUUACCCUCAUGGUGCUUCACCUCCGGUGAUUGAAAUUAGCCAUAGCUCCCCCUCUCAUGGUGCUUCACCUUCAAGGUCUUCAUCUUUAGAUGCAGUUCGAUGCAUUACACCCGUUCUUGCGGUAUAUACUGGUUGCUCUAUUUUGUUCAUUUGUUUAUUGCUUUCUUAAUUUGUUGCUAAAUUGGAUUGUCAAUUGAUUAUGAAAUUAUGUAUGCAAGGACUCGUCAUCUUCCUCGCCUUCUCGUUCGUGUUCUGAGAGAGGCACAUCAUCUAAGAGGGCUAGGCUCUCCCCCACACCAUCCCAUAAAGGCAAUGGCAAAGCUAUUCAGAUAUGUAUAAGUCUGGAAAUCUGUUUAUCUGUCCUGAAAUGGUUUCUGAAUAUAUGUCAAGACCCACCUCAAAUUUUACCCUAAAACCUGGAGUAAACCUGAAAAAUUCGGCAUAACCUCCAUUGUAAUUGGACAGCCAUAUAACAACACAUCCAACCUCAACACCUGGAGCGACCCGCUCCCCCACAACACAUCCACCACACACAAAAAAUAAUAUCAUCUUCAAACCCAACACAUAAAUAUCCAAUUUAUAUCAUACACCAUCAUUUGGAUUGACACGACCCACCCCGAAUUUCACCCUGAAACCUGGAGUAAGUCGAGCGGGGACCACCUCCAAGGAAAAUUUACUGAAAGGAUUGAUAAAAUCUCCCUUGAAAAUGGACAACCCUAACUCGAAAAUUCCAAAAUACACUUUUAAUACAACACGUCCAAACAUCACAUAAUUAACCUUCAGAAAUUCUAAACAUAAAUUACAAUAAUCCCAAAGUAUUCAGAGCUACUAGACACUAGCGGAAGCAAGAAAACACGAGUAGGUUAAACAUGUAACCUACUGAUGAAAACUGGCGGAAAUGCGGGUGACUAUGCCUCGCCUCCUACUAGAUCCAACCCGAACUCUGCAGACUGGGCAAUUUAAAACGAAGAGCCCAGGGGAAAACAUGUGGAACAGUUAGAGUGAGUGGACAAAACUAAAUUAAAAUAAAAGUAUUUCUUUAUGCUUCCCCAAUUUAAUUUCCAAAUAAAAUAAUGCUGCAUGCAAUCGCUCAAAAGCGCUCAACUCAAAAACUGGUAACUUCACGACCAGCACCGGCUAGUCUCCAAAACUUAAUAAAAUACAACCUCUCAGGCUAAAUUAUAUAUAAACAUAUAUAAGUGUAUGUAUUUACACUCGUCAGACUCCUUGUAUGAAUUCUAAGAACAAAUUCGAAAAAUAGAAAUUCAUACAAGGCUACUACGCUUGCGUCUAACGCUCACGUCACACCAUAAUGGAAUUGUACCUCAGUAUGGCGGAAAAAGCAUGAGUGUAUAUACGUGUGGACUCCCUAUAUGAAAACCUAAAUAAACCAAAUAAGAAAAUAGUUUUCAUAUAGGGCUACUACGCUUGUGUCUAACACUCACGUCACAACAUAAUAGUAUUUUACCUCAUUAUGGCGGAUCAAACACGUAUGGCUAGCUAGCAUUUAUAUAUACAGACUAUCAUCAUAAACAUCCAAUAAACAUAUCCACCGAAAAUCUCAUUUUCGAGAUCUCUCCAAAGGAGGAAAAUUGCCAAAUAUCCGAGAAACAAAUAAAUCUCAGGAAAAGAAAUAAAUGAUCAACAGAUAAUUCAUCGCAUGCUUUUCAAUUAAAAUAAAGGUCCACUCACAAAUUAGGCCUAAGCCUGAUGACGCUCCGAGGCUUCCUCUGCUCGGGCCUCCUCUCGUCCUGUUCCAAAUAUAUAAUUAAUUUCCCACCAAAAAUCUAAUAAUUAAACAAAAUGGGCAAAAUUAAACGUGAGCCUCCCAUACACUCAUCAUUACCCAAAUUCGCCAUUCUUAACUCAAUACGGCUCAAACUUUGCCGAACAUACCGGCAGCCGUAAAAACAGCUUCCCACAGAAUACGACUUAAAUCCUACGGCCGGAUUCUACAUUAAUUAACCGUCAAAAAAUACCAAACUUCGGAAAUUCACAAACCUAUCCAAAACUCAUCCAAAAAUUCCAUAACUCACUUCAAUAAACUCCCCUUAAUAUUCCAAAUCUAAAAACAUUAAAAUCUCCCAAACAGCUCCGGCGCCAGCGCCGGCUCCGCCGGCAGCGGCGGCCGGAGGCCGAUUCCGGUGACCUCCAAUUUCUACCAAAUUUUAACAGAAUAAUCCUCUUAUCAAGCACAAGAACUUUCCUAACUAGCACUUAGUCCAAUUCUAAGGCUAACUAGGGUAAUCGACUAAAAACAUCCAAAAAUCCCUAGAACUUCAAUUAUACAUUUCUCCAUAACCACAACGAGAUAGACUUAUUCCUUUUGGGGGGAUACUCACCUUGGUGAGAGCUACAAAAUGAGCUAAAUAUUGCGAGUUUUGGUGGCCAAAAAUGGGAUUUCUGGCGAAAUGCUUCCCGGCGUCUCCAGCGGGUUUUCUCCUCUUCUGACGGGUUAGAGGCUCGGGGGCUAGGCCGGGGAGGGAGAGGAGGAGAUGGGGGUCCGAACAGGGCUGGAGCAGCGGCCGGACGGCGGCAGCUGGUGGCUGGGAGCUUCCGGCGGAGAGGGGCUCUAGGAGCUCAGGGAAAGAGGGAAGGGAGAAAGAGAGAGAGUGAAGGAGGAUAUGGGCUGCUCACACCCGGUCCAUAACCCUUAAACCCAACAAAUUUUACCCACUAAAAAAAAAUACCUUUUUUUACCACCUCAAAAUUUACUCUUUUAGAUAAUAACUUUUUCAUGCUAACUCUGAUUUUAACACAUAGCAUGUCUACGAACUCGUAUUAACGUCUUCUACAACUUUCAUGAAGAAAGUUUCUCCAAAUUCUAAACGAAAAAUAAAGUCAACUUUAGGGUCCUUAGGUAGUAAACGGUUAUUCAACACGGUAAAAGACUAAAAUAAUACCAAAGUAAAUAACCGUAAAAUAACUUAAGAACCGGGGUGUGACAUGGAUAACUCUCAAAUUAAUAAACAAAGACUUAGCACACAACCGAACUAUUAUACAAAUAAUCCCAAGGUAAUCAGAGCUACUAAACACUAGCGAAAACAAGAAAAUAUGGUAGUAGGUUAACAGGUAACCUACUGAUGAAAGGUGGAAGAGAUGCAUGUCGGUGACUAUGCCUCGCCUCUGACUAGUGCCAACCCGAACUCUGCAGAUUGGGCAUUUUAAAACGAAGUGCCCAGGGGAAACAUUUGAAACCGUUAGAGUGAGUGGACAAAAAUAAAUUAACUACUUUUUGAAGUACCACUACUUUUUGAAAACAAUCUACCAUAGCUCUAUAUGCUUCCAAAAAGUUCAUUCCCAAGAUCACAUCAAACUCCACUAUACCUAAAGGAAUUAAAUCGGCCUUGAAAUUAACUCCUUCUACUAAAACUUCACAACCACUAAACACCCAAUUUAUCCUCAUCACCUCACCGGAGGGUAGAGACACAUGCCACUCACCUGGAAGAGACGAUGAUGGCACAUUGGCAUAGAGGGCAAAUCUACUAGACAUAAAUGAAUGCGUGGCUCCGGGAUCAAUUAAAGUAAAAGCAGGCUGGCCAAAAAUUAAUAACGUACCAAUGAUGACAUCUAGAGAAGUACGACCUUCCUGCUGGGUCAUAGCAUGCAAUCUAGCGCGAGUCAUGGGACGUCCACGCUGACCACCACCCUGCAGAGAGCUACCACUGGCCGAUGCACUGCCCUGGGCACCACUAAUGGAGCCUCUAGAUGAAGACUGACCAACUGGCUGAGUAGGGAUAGGGGUGGUCCUCUGAGCCAACAAUGGACAAUCUCUCCUGAAGUGGUCUUGACCACCACACUCAAAACAUCCAGAAAAUUGCUAUUGCCCAAAAGAAAACGUCUGACUACUGGAGGACCCACCAUGGAAGCUGCCACUAGAACCAUACUGACCAGACUGCUGCCUACCCAAAUGACUCCGAGAAGAUCUCCUGAAACGUCCUUUAUUCCUGUUUCGAGCACCAGAACUCGAUCCCCCACUACCGUCACUACCAGCAGAAGACCCAAAAGCGGAUGAUGAAGCAACCUUCUUGGAUGGACCUUGACUGGGGCCACUGUAAUCACAGGGCCGAGUACCAUGUGUCCUCAUGUUCUCAAUGGCCAUGGCUGCACUAACCGCAUCCAUAAAGGUCAAGUAAAUUACACCCGUCAUCUUAUCUACAGACACACCACCAACUGCCCCAACGAACAUCUCAAUCCUAGUCCUCUCAUCCGGAACCAGGUAUUGCACAUGAUAGGUCAGGGAAGUGAAUCUCUGCUCAAACUCUAUGACCCCCUCAUUAUCCCUCUUCUGAAUGUUCAGGAAAUCUGACUGUAUCCUACUGCGGUGGCCAUGUUUGAAAUACUGCCCUAAGAAGAGCGUCUUAAACUGCUCCUAUGUCAUAUUCUGAGCAUCCUCAACAUUCCUGCUGGCAAGCGACCACCAGUGAUGGGCUGAAUCAUCCAGAAAAGUCAUUGCCAUAUUCACUUUCUUAUCUUCUGGCAACCCAGUGCUGUCAAAAGCCUUCUCCAUCUUGUCUACCCAAUUAUAAGCAUCAAGGGUCCCUUGGCACCCUUGAACUCCCUUGCUCCACCUUCAUAAACAUCCUUUUUCUUCACAGUCCAAGGGUUCUGAGUCCGCUCUAGCACUCCCCUCAACAUAUCUCCAAUAGAAUUUACUAGCUCCCUGACCUCAUUGCCCUCAUUGGCGUUGGUCGAACUACCCUCACGGGGUUGGCGUUGGCAUCUAGGAGGCAUAGUACCUGAGGAAGAAGAUAUUUAGUAGUCUAUAAACAAGACUAACACAACUAUCACACAUACCCAAUAACAAAUAGCAUCCAAAGCAUAAACUGCCAAUGAAUCUGCCGCGGUCGGAUCAUCACUCUAUAGACACUACGUGCUACUUAGGUAAAUAUGAUAGUGACAAGGAGGUAGGAAAUGAAACCUAAAGCUCUGAUACCAACUAUCAAGACCCACCCCAAAUUUUAUCCUAAAACCUGGAGUAAGUCCUGCGGGACCACCUCCAAGGAAAAUUUACCGAAAAAUUUGGUAUAACCUCUCUUGAAAAUGGACAACCUUAUCCUGAAAAAAAUUCAGAUAACACUCCUAUACCAACACAUCUAACCUCAACACCUGGAGCCACCUGCUCCCCACAACACAUCCACCACACACAAAAAAAAUAUCAUCUUCUAAUCCAACACAUAAAUAUCCAAUUUACAUCAUACACCAUCCUUUGGAUAACUCCCAAAUUAAUAAACAAAGACUUAGCACACAAUCGAACUAUUAUACAAAUAAUCUCAAGGUAAUCAGAGCUACUAAACACUAGCGGAAACAAGAAAAUAUGGUAAUAGGUUAACAAGUAACCUAGUGAUGAAAGGUGGAAGAGAUGUGGGUGAUUAUGCCUCGCCUCUGACUAAUGCCAACCUGAACUCUGCAGACUGGGCAUUUUAAAACGAAGGGCCCAGGGGAAAACAUUUGAAACCGUUAGAGUGAGUGGACAAAAAUAAAUUAAUAAAUAAAAUAUUUAUGCAUUCCCAUUUGAAUUUCCAAAGAAAUUAUGUUGCAUGCGAAAAUUCUAAAGUGCUCAACCCAUACCCUGGCAAUUUCAUGACUAGCUCUGGCUAGUCUCCAAACUCAAUAAACUGGAGCCUCUUAGGCUAAAGUAUAUAUAAACAUAUAUGUGUAUGUAUUUACACUCAUCAGACUCCUUGUAUGAAUUUUAUGAACAAAUUUGAAAAGUAGAAAUUCAUACCAGGCUACGACGCUUGCGUCUAACACCCACGUCGCUCCCUAAUGGAAUUUUUCCUCAUUAUGACCGAAGAGGACGUUUGUAUAUAUACGUGUGGACUCCCUAUAUGAAAACCUAUAUAAACCAGAAAAGAAAGUAGUUUUCAUAUAGGGCUAUGACGCUUAUGUCUAACACUGACGUCACGCCAUAAUGGUAUUUUACCUCAUUAUGAUGGACCAAGCACGUAUGACUAGCUACCAUUUAUAUACAUACUAUACUCAUAAACAUCCAAAAUACAUAUCCAUCGAAAAUCUCAUUUUAGGGAACUUUCCAAAGGAGGAAAAUUGUCAAAUAUUCGAGAAAGAAAUAAAUCUCAUCAGAAGAAAUAAAUGAUCAACAGAAUAAUUCAUCGCAUGCUUUUCAAUUAAAACCAAGGUCCACUCACAAAUUAGGCCUAAGCCUAAUGUCGCUCCGAGGCUUUUUCUGCUCAGGCCUUCUCUCGUCCUGUUCCAAAUGUAAUAUUAAUUUCCCAACCAAAAAAUCAAAAAACUUACACAAAAUAGGCAAAAUUAACCGAGAGCCAUAAACACGCUCAUCAAUGCCUAACUUCGAUACGGUCCACACCUCAACACUUAAACCAGCAGCCUUAACUACACCCUUCCACAGAUUUUACGACUUAAAUCCAACGGCCGGAUUCUACCGUAUUAAUCCACCACAAUUACUAAACUUUAAAAAUUCCCACAUCUAUCGAAAACUCCUCCAAAAAUUCUAAAAUUCACAUCAAUAACUCCUAUUAAUAUAACCAAUCAAAAACCAUGAAAAUCCCCUAAAUAGCGGUGGCCGGAGGCCAACUCUGGCGACCUCCAAAGCCUACCAAAUUUUAAUAGCAACUUCCUUUCAACUCCCUCUACAACUUUCUUAACCAGCACAACACCCAAUUCUAAGCCUAACCAUGCCAAUCGAACGAAAACAUCCUAGAAAACGCUAGAGCUUCAACACCAUUACCUCCUUACCUAGCUCAAGAGAGAGUGAGACCUUUGGAGGGGUUGCUGCACGGGAGGAGGGCUUUCUUUUGAGCCAAGCAGCUCCGGCUUUGGUGGCCGGAGAAGAGAGUUCCAGCGACGGAACCACCACGGCAGUCGGACCUUUCGGGGGAGAGAACUCCUUCACGGCGGAGCUAGGGCGGCUCUCACCGGCCUAGAAUGGAAGUUGGGUCGGAGGCCGACUGUUUGGAACCGGAGCGGCGGCCUACGGUGGCCGGAUUGCGGCGAACUGAGGGGGGGAAAAUCCGGCAGAGAAGAGGACUCGGGGGAGGGAAAUCGGGAGAGAAGAGAGAGAAGUGAGGGGAGUGAUGUGGGCUUUUCCAACCGGUCCAACACCUUAUGCAAAACCAACUCCAUAAAUUUACACCCCAAAAUAAUACCCUAAUAAAAAUUACUUUUUACUAGCCAAAAUUUACCAUUUUUACCGUCGACACAUUUUUCUCCUACGAAUAAUUCUCCGAAAUAAUCGUCCCCCAAAACCCCGCUAGGGACCAUUUAAACUAUAAACUCAUUUAAACUAUAAGCUAGUAAAUAAGGUAAAGAUUUAAGGGUCGAGAUGUGACAAUAUAUUUCUCAAUUGAUUUAUGAAUUUAUGUAUGCAAGGACUCGUCAUCUUCCUCGCCUUCUCGUAAAAAACUAUCAGAAUCGCUUGAUUCAUUCGUACGGCGGACUCAUGAAGGGAUACCUAGAUAUGUACACCGCCCUCUUAGCCCCCCACCCUCACGCCCCAUGACAAUGAUGGACGCCGUUGCUGCCCUUGAAGAUGUCCUAGCUCAGAUUUACAUGUUAACUUCAUCUGUCAAUGCAAUUAAGUGUAAUAUUGAAGACCGAAUCAACAAGGCAGCCCGAAAGUAAUCUAGGGAGAGGAGAGGAGUCAGCGUGAUCCUUGAUUUAGUGUUGAUCAGUUUGUAACAAUUUAUGUUUUGGUUAUGUUUCUUCAACAUCGGUUAUGUUUCGGCCACAAUUUCUGGAAAUCAUCAUGUGGUGGUGAUUAAUUAAUAUUCUAUCAGUCAGUCCUUUAUCGAUUGUGAUUUUGAAGGAAUUAGGGUUGAAUUUCAAUUCAGUUUCUGUUUAUGACUAGUCGUUUCGUGCAACGAUAUGUCAAGUUUGAAGAACCUACCUGUCACACCCCAAUUUUUGAAAGAUAAUUUUUCAAAAAUUUGGGCAUGAUAUACCUUAAAAUAUUAAAUCCCAAAACCUGUUUUCAAACUAACUUCAAAGAACUAAAACUCAAUGCGGAAAUGUAAAUGUCACACAACUCAACACCGAGUUAAAUAUUAUAUUUCCUUGUUUACAUAAACUUAAAAAUCAAGAAAAUGAAACCACUCACAUGAGUUUUAAUAAAGUCUACCCCAAAUAUAAAAACAAAUACAAUGUACAGCAAAACCCAACAAAAACCCUGCCACUAAGUCUCCGCUUCAACCCUGCUGAUCCUCACCUGCAAGUCUAACCCCUACACCAAGAAAUGGUGUAUCGGGUUGUAAACAACAAACUCGGUAAGCUAAAAAGCCCGUAUGAGUAAUUCUCAAAAUAACACCAAAACUUCCAAUUACCAAUUAUAACACAAGAGCAAUUUAUAUCAAUAAUUAAAAACCACAAAUCCAACAUUUUUCAAUUAACAUGUACCCAUGAGUCUCAGGUAUUAAUAAAUACCCCUCAUGACCUACAACAACGAAAUGUGUACCCAUGGGUCCCAGAUACCCUACCGUAUCUCCCAUGACCUACACUGACAGACGGACUAGAGCUCUAUUCCUAACCGCAACCAAUCACGCGGUCAAAGGCUUGGAACCCGGUUUGACAGUCUAAUAUCAAACACAAAAAUGAUAAAUAGCAUCUUAACAGCAACCAAUCACCCAAUUAUAGGCUUGGAACCCGGUUUGGCUAUUUAUCCAACAAUCACAAUAUCACAACAUUAUCCUCAACAACACAAUAUCCCAUCAUAAAUUAUAUCCUUCCACAUAGAUAUAUUUACAUGAACAAAAUAUAGAUAUUCCACAAGAAUAAUCUAUCAAUAAUCAAUAAAAUUAUGAUCACAUGAAUCUCAAAAAUUGCAUAUAAGGAAAACUUGUUUUAUCUUACCUAUGAGCCGUUGGCGAUCAAGCUCAUAUAUUUUAAAAAAGCAAUUAGAAAAACAUAUUAUUAAAUCCAACAUCAUCAUCAUUAUCAUCAUUACAUGACCAUAAUAACAUUUGGUUCAAAAGUGAACCUUAGUGAGAUUUACUCACCUAAAUAUCCCGCUGCAAAUUCCACAAGCCGACAUUAGCAAGCCCGAACACAACAUCACAAUUCAUCUAAAAUAACACAAUUAAAACCUUAGUAACUAAAAUACUAUAGGUUAACACAAUACCCUUAAACUAACCCUUAGUUCAAGGGAGGACAACUUUCCAAAGUCGUCAAACUUAGCAACCCAAAAUGGCUGCCUCUAAUCCUCAAACCCUAUCUCAACCUCAACCAAGCCUAAUAACAAACUUAAAGUCCUAACAUACAAACCUUGCUCACAACCUUGAAAUUCUACAUCUUCACAAGCUCACCACAAUCAGAGCUAGCUAAAACACAGCAAUCAAAGUCAAAACCACUGCCGGACGUGCUGCCAUGCGCCACCACAAGUGGCGGCGAGUGGUCUCCACGCGCCACCACAAACUUCCGAAUUUGAGAAAACUCUCAACAGCAAAGUUGAAGCUUGAAGAAAGGAGAACAACUUUCAUACCUGAGGCUUCAACCAAUUUUGGCCGGAACCGGCCAGAAACUGCCUCGAAACAGCUACCCGAAUUCAACUACAAAACCUGCAAAUCCGGCCUCAAAACCUCAAAAACUUGUUUCAAUCUAUGCCUAGCCACUACCAGGAGGAGGAGAGGAUCAAAACUCACCUAAGGAUGCCCCUCGUCGCCGCCAGAAACGGUAAAUCCGAUCAAAGACACAGCAGUCCUCUUUCCGGCAACAGAGCUCCGAUUCCAGCGUGCCACACCGAGCAGCAGGUGCCCAGCCUUGAAGAGAUCAAUUGUGGGAGUCGAACGGGACCGGGUGGCGUCCGGUUUGGUGGCCGGAGGAGCGAGAACUCGGCCGGAGAAGAGAGGGAGUUCAGGGGAGCUCGGGAGAGGAAGAGAGAGAAGAGAGUGAGGAGAGUGAGGUGAUUUUAGGGUUCCAAAAUAACUCCCACACACAUUUUUCUACUUAUACACUUUCCAAACCCGAAAACUAACUUCCUCUGACCAUAACUUUCUCAUACGACAUCCGUUUAAGGCGUGCCUCAUGUCUACGAACUCAUAUCGACAAACUCUACAACUUUCAUGAAGGAAGUUUUUGAAGAUAACUUACGGAAAAUAAGUCAACUUUUGGCCUUUUAAAAGUCAAGACACCUUAAAAUAAACUCCCGAAACUUCAACUUCGUAAAAACCAAAGAAUUUCCAUAAACAAUCCUUCAUUAAUUAAGGGAAUAAUACAAGGAAAAAUGAUAUGAAAAACUAGGGUAUUACCCUACCAACAUCUCAUUUCAUAGGUAAAACUGUUUUUAUAUGUCAAGGCUGCUAAUAUCAUAUGAAACGUUCAGCAAAAAAAGUAGACCAUCUUGACUUCACUAACUCGGUAAAUAUACUUGUUUACUUAUCAGAGGGUACCUUUUUAUGAACGGGAGUGUACUAAUUUGCAAUUCAAUAUUCAUGAAAAAAGUAGACCUAUUAGAUAGUGUUGUUUGGAAUUUUCGAUUCAAGAGUAAAAUUUUUUCAAGAAAGAGUAUUCAAUCCUCAUGCCACCACUCUGACCCAUAGUUAUGCAUGUGUUUGAUUGUAAAAUCCCACAAUCAGUUCCACCCUCCUGUUCUGGGGACUGAGCUGGCUAAAAUCAUGUCAAGUAUGCUAAAAUCAUGUGAAACGUUGAGCAACAAAAUUAGGCCAUCUUGCUUCACUGACUCGCUAAAUAGACUUGUUUACUGAUGAGAGGGUAAAUUCUUCCCAAAUUCUUAUGAACAAUAGUGUAGUAAUUUGCAAUUCAACGUUCAUGAAAAAAUUAGACCUAUUGUUAGACAGUGUUGUUGGGAAUUUCCGAUUGAAGAGUAAAUUUUUGUCAAGAAAGAGUAUAGAAUCCCUUGUAUUUUGUCAGAUAGUACCUUCAAACGAGGUGGUUUCUCAUUAAAUCAGUACACUAAGGCCGAGGAAAACCUCUUUCACAUUCCAUUGUAUCUACAGUCUUUUCGUUUCUUAAAAAAUAUUCCCAAAAAAAAACAAUACACUCCUUUCAACAUCUUGAAGAGGCCACUCCUCUAAUCAAGACGUGACUCUUUGGUACCUUAACCUUUAGUUUCAUUCCUCUAUAAAUACAAUGCUUCAAACAAUGAUUCCCACAUAUCUAACUUCUCUUCAUAAGUGUGCAGGGUAUCAUGGUUCGAAGAAACGAAAGAACUCAUGGUAGAAACUACAGUCCAUGGGAAACUCAUCAGCUCAAGUACCGUUUUGCUCUCCAAGAAAAGAAGAUUGCAGAACUUACACAACAUGUUUUUCAGAUCAACAUGCAACUUAUCGAAAUCCACAUAGCCUUGGGAUAUCUCACUAAAUCCAUUAUGGAGUUGGAGGCCAUAAGGGAUGCACCUCCCCCCGUAUUUAACAGACGUGGCUGUGUGCGCAUCAACGUGGCUUGGAGAGAUCCAGAAUCAAGCAUUCACCAGCGAAUGUAGACAUUUGUGGGAGUAUUGCUUAUGUGUUAUCUAGUACUUUUUUUUGUUGGUAUGUAAGUGCAUAAGCACAAGGAAAAAUUAAUGCUGGAUGCGUUCUCUUAUCUUAUCAAAUUGUAGUAUCUUUUCGUUAUUAAUGUCGGUCUGGGGUUUGAAUGCAUACUCUACUUUGUUAUAAUACUUCAGGAAAUCUACUUCUACAUAAAACUAAUAGACCUUGGCAUAAAACUAGUAGACUUGGCAUUUCAACAAAGUAAAUGUUUUCCGAAACAGGAUUUGGCAAUCGAUCAUGGGAUCGAUCAUAUACAAGUUAUAGUACUACCAGUAAUACCAAGAUCCUCAAAGGAACACACAAGCUCUACAAAUGGGAACGUACAGACUUAAGAGUACUAAUCUACAUUUAACAUCCUAAAUCUGACUUACAUUCAUAAACCAUCAUCACAUCAGUCCUUCUUAGGUGGGCCUCAAUUUCUUCGCCGGGGAUGCCUGGGGAGGCACUUCCGCAUACUGUGUUUAAGAAAUUAGAGAGGUCAUUAGAUUCAGGAUUUUGUCCAUCUUACUUGUGACUUCAUGCGCCGUUUGAUAUUUCACAAACGGAGAAGGAUCAACCUCGGCAACAUUGGGUGAGGCGUCAAUAGGGGCAGGCGUUUCAAUUAACUCAUAUUUAGCUUGAAGAUUUCACUUGAUCGUUUCUAGUAAAAAUGCUUCUCUCCGUCACAUAGCCAUUUCUCGCUCCUCUUGGAUGUUUUUUCGAUUUAUGGCCCUUUUCUAUGGCAUGUUUGAUCCAAAUGAUUGAUCGAGAGAUGGAUUAUCGUGAUUGCAGCAACAUGCAAGUAUUGAUCUUUCUGAGCAAGUAGGAUUGAGAGGUGGAAUUCGUGGAUUAAGGGAAGGGAUGGAUUUUUUUGGUCAGAGGCGGCGAAGAAUGGAACCCGACUUCCAUUAAUGGUUUUGGAGAUUCCAACAAGGCAACAGGAAACUAGGGGGUGGGCGGACUAGGCUCUAUGUGAAAUGAUGGGCAGGCCCAUCAAUGUCAAGAACAUGCAAAAGGAAAACUCUAUCAGCCCAUAACAUCUUCAACCCACUUUGUGUUGCAGAUGAUGUUGGAAUCCCAAAUUUAACCUCUAAUUCCCGUACUUAUGAUAAUCCACCUCUCCUUCCCAGAUUGACGAUAGUUUGACGAUCUGUUUUGUCCUCGCAAUCCUUAUUUGGCUUGUACCCCCAAAUUGAAACCCCUAACGCUCGUAUACCCAUACCCUAAAUCACAGUAAUCUACCUCUCAAUCAAUAAUUCCGAUCGAAGAUGCCACUGAAAACGGCGAAGAAGGGAAGAAGUAUCGAAAAGGAGCGAUAUAUGGUUUUGAGACGGUGGAAAGCACUCCUUCUAAAGGUGGUCAAGCGUCGUAAAGUUGAUGUUGGCUCGGUUGCUCCUCGUUCCUCUUUGAAAGAUCCAAAGGACCUUGAGGUCACAGGCAAGCUAGACAAAAUUCGAAGUUUACUGAGCUGUCUAAGUUCUCAAAUAUAGAAUGCGGAACACCCUCCCCAUGCAUCUCCAGCGAAAAAAUUGAGGCCCCGAGAUGGCUCACAAAGUCAGGUAUGAAAUUGUGGAUUUGCAGCAGUUUGUGAGUUGAUCCAUUGUGACUCUUAUAUCAAUGUUUACGGUCUCGUCCUUUUUUGCAUGGAUUACAUUGGAAUUUAGUUGUGGGAAAGUUCGAUUAAAGUAGUUUGUGAGCUGCCAACAUUGUGUUUCUGGUAAGAACCUAUACAUGGAAGAGACACUCCGCCAAAAAAAGGCCCAAAUAUUCCGACAAGGCGCAGAUUGGCCCCUUCAGAGUCAAUGCCGAUAGAGGAGAGACUAACAAGAGACUUGUACUCUUUGUGUACGACACAGAGACGGACUUGCAGCUAAGCGAAACCAUCGUUGAUAGUGCUAGUGGCGGCAUCUUUACCACUAUAGAUUCUGUGAGGACACUCCGACCUGAUGGAUUCAUCAAUGACGACAUUAUAACAUUGUUUGCUGACUAUCUAUGGCAAGAACGUAGAGGAGGCGAUAGCGUUUACUUUACAACCUACUUCUGUCGGAAGACGAUGUAGUAUAGUAUACAGUUAUCUUCAGGACAUGUUGUCAACGGUGUAAGUUCGAAGGAGUUGGGUGUGAGAAGAUUUGACAAUGAUAUUCCUACAUGCAAAAAGGUAUGUCACUGGUUGGCUUCGCUUGUCAGUGAGAUGAUCAAACAUAAACUACAUGUUCACGUUUAAUUAAUCUUACAGAUUUUCAUACCCAUGCACGACCUAAAACAUUGGUACCUGUUGGUGGUGCGUCCUGAUGUCCAAAUAGCUGAAGUGUGGGAUAGCUUGGGAUGUAGCAGGAGACAGAAGAAUCAGUGCAAAACCAUUGUGAGUGAUCACGUUUAUUUCUAAACAAAACAAAAUAACUAUUAUAUUGGUGUACAUGUUUCACUUCCUCAUGAAUAAGUGGAGUUCAUAUGAAACUGCACAAAAGUAAGAAAAAAUAUCCAAGCAAUAAACUAGCCGGCACAACCCACUGCUGAACUUAGAUUACACUUUCUUAUGCCAACAACAAUAAUAACUCAGUCUCAUCUAAAUAGAGUAGUUACAUCCAUAGAGCACUGGCUUGGUGAAAAUCAUCAAUAUCUAGAGAGAAUUCAGGGUCUGAAGGCCACCACCAAUAGCCUGUUGGAGGGGAAUUGGAAUUCCCGUCUUCAAAGUGAUGCAUUUCAUUUUCCCAGUAGCACAAUCCACAACUGCAUCUCUUUACGUUGUCUAGUCCAACGUUGUACAAGUGUGCGCAAGUGUCGCAUGGUCUUUUAGUAACAUCGGCUAUGUGAGUGCAAAAUCCUUCUACCGCAGCAGAACACUGAUGAGUUUGCACGGUGUUGACUUCCUUCUCCAGAACAACUUCAUGCUCCACAUCUGGUUUGGGGCUUAGUCGGUGUUGGCUUGCUUCUUCAACAUCCACCAUAGCAUUCUUUAGAACAGCUUCAUGCUCCACAACUGAUUCUUUAGAGUUAGACAUCUUUCAACGAAAAGGUUGUGGUUACUGAAGCACUCUUAUAUAGAAACGUACUAGGUGGGAAUUGUGAUUUCAAAUUGGUUCAAAUUGAUAUCAAAUUUUUUCAAGUAACCGCCAUCCACCUCAAAUUUUACGGAUCACCAGCGUGUCUUCUAUCCCAGCCGUCAAUCCUAAACCCUACUUUUCAUCUGUAUCGUACAAGGUUGAGAAACCAUAAACACUGCCCAUUGGCCCAUUAGUCCAUUGGCCCAAACCCGGAACCCUAACUUAAUAGAUCAACGUAGAUGGGAUAUUUCAAGGACGGGACCUUCCUUGAAUUACCUCAAAUGUAAUUCUUGGAGAUCUUCCAACGUAAGCACCUUCUAAGUAAAGAUAUUGUUUCCAAGUGUGACUCUUCAAUCUUAGACGUGCAUAUCACCAUAUCUCAUGUAAUCAUCAUCAGAUGCCACCAGUAAGGAAUGUAAUCCCAGUUAUAUACUUCAAAGCAAUUAGGACCUCUUUUCAUGAUAUCCUUCCUUGAUCAUGUCUUCUUAACUAGCAUGAAACACGUCCAUAUUGCCUUUUCCAUCAAAGAUCUUCCAUGCUGCUCAAUAUCGGUAACCAAACAAUCAUCCAUAAUAGUUUAAGGAAUUUUGAAUCUUUUACAAUUUAAGGGUGAGGUUGAGUCUACGUAGUCAUGAUUUUCCUAUAAAUUGCUCAGGAUUUAGGUAGACCUAUGUCAUCCAACAAGUGGACUUAUUUUACAAUUUUUACAAUUUAUGAGAUUAUAUAUGUAUUUUCCUUAUUUUUUGGAAUUUCCUAAGGUCAUGAUUUUCCUAUAAAUUUCUCAGGAUUUAGGUAGACCUAUGUCAUCCAACAAGUGGACUUAUUUUACAAUUUUUACAAUUUAUGAGAUUAUGUAUGUAUUUUCCUUAUUUUUUGGAAUUUCCUAAGGUCAUGAUUUUCAUAUACAUUGCUCAUGAUUUAGGUAGACCUAUGUCAUCCAACAAGUGGACUGACCAAUUACCCAAGACGUCUGAUCAAACCCCCAGACGUCUUAUCGAGUUGGUCACUGCUUUAUUAUUAACGCUUCAUAAACAGGGUCGACUUUUCGAAUGGGUAUUACCUUGCCUUUUCGGUUGCCUUAUAACUUCCUUUUGAGUGAAAGUUUUCCAUCAAACCGCUAUCACUCAUUGGAAUUCCAGUUUCCAGCAUACCAGAUAGUACCUUUCAAGCCAAACUUGUCAAUGGCAAACACAGCUUCCUCUCUUCCUCUGUUCUUAGCCAAGGUUAACAAAGCAGGGUUCAAUGUAACUGAAUUGGUACGAGUGCUCUUUAUCUUAUACUCCGGCUGCAUUUUUUUUUUUUUACUAAACCAUCUACCAAUCAUAAUCAUUUGUUUGACGUUGCAGGAGAUACCUUGGUCAUUUUUUGACAAAUACAUGGUCGGUGAUGUCGAAAAAAAAGGUGUUAUCCAAAAGACUGGACAGUUUCUGUGAAACGGGAUCAUGAGUGGGUUGAGUUGCGCAGAGGAUGGGGUGUAUUUGUGAACGACGUUAUACAGAACGAUUCUGAGGCCUACCUUGUGGUGGAUUACAUGGGGGACAUGCAAUUCAAGGUUAGGGCAUUUUACUCGGAUGGAAACAUUGUCGUCGACGUUCCCCUUUGCUUGAACCAUGCCUGUGGAUUUUACAGAGGACCCCGGCCUGAAUUCUUUAGGCGCGUCACCCAUGCUUCUGAGCGCCCAAUGGUAACUUUCUUCAACUUUCAUUAUUGCAUUGAAGUUCCAUUGUGGUUUGUCUUGAGAGUGUUCUUAUUAUUUUAUGCAGGUUAUUAUACACAGAUCAAUGCUCACGGACCAUUCCACAAACAACUUCUUGAUGUCGGAAUGGGUCUAUUUGAGUUUCACCUGAAGGCGGCGCCGGCGAUUAAAACGGUCGUGCAGCUUACUCGCACAAACAGAAACUAUAUUGAGUUUAGCACCGGGUGGAACACCUUUUUGGCGUUGUGCGGGAUCCAAAGUGAAGAUUUGGUCGUUUUAGAACUAGUUCCAGAUCGCAAAAUCAGUGUCUUGGCAUUCCUCCCGGAAGACAAGGGGCCCGAGGGGGCCCUUCUAACUCCUCUGCCAACAGUUGAUGCACAUGAAUCUUCGUCGGAAAAUUAUUAAAUUUUCAAAAAAUUUUAAUUGUCUUUAAUUUCGGAAAGUUAUUAUAUAUUUCGUUUAUGAACUAUAAGGACAUGUUAUGUGUUUUGUAAAACUAGCUACAUAUGAUAUUAUGUUUUUCGUUUAAGAACUGGGAACUGUUAGAACCUCUACCUUGUGUUGAUUUUGAUUUCCAGAAUGUAUGAUGAAUGAUAAUGUACACCACGUAAACAAACUAAACAGGUAGGUUAAUCUUCGUAAACAUUGUACACUAUGUUCAAAAAACAGGUAGACCCAUAUAAGCAGACCAGUUUAGAGUUGGUCUACUCGUAGUGUGAGUCAAUGCUUCGAAGAGCUAGUACACCACGUUCACAAAACAAGUAGGUUAGUGUUCGUAAAUAGGUAAAUCAUUUUGUCUCACAAAAAAAGUAGACCCGUGCUCGUAAAUAAGCAGACCAACCUUCAUAAACAGGUAGUCCUGUCAAGAAUUCUUCAAGUGUCUGUGAAUUUUGGACACUUUAGAGUUGGUCUACUCGUAGUGUGAGACUAUCCUUCGUAAACCUAGUACAUCGCGUUCACAAAACAGGUAGGUUAGUGUUCGUAAACAGGUAGACCAUUUUGUCUCACAAAAAAAGUAGACCCGCGCUCUUAAAUAAGCAGACCAGCCUUCGUAAACAGGUAGACAUGUCAAGAAUUCUUUAAGUGUCUGUGAAUUCUGGACACUUUAGAGUUGUUCUACUCGUAGUGUGAGUCAGUACUUCGUAAACCUAGUACAUCACGUUCACAAAACAGGUAGGUUAGUGUUUGUAAACAGGUAGACCAUUUUGUCUCACAAAAAAAGUAGACCCGUGCUCGUAAAUAAGCAGACUAGUCUUCGUAAACAAGUAGACCAUUUUGUCUCACAAAAAAGUAGACCCGUGCUCAUAAAUAAGCAGACCAGUCUUCGUAAACAGGUAGACCUGCUAAGAAUUCUUCAAGUGUCUGUGAAUUCUGGACAUUUUAGAGUUAGUCUACUCGUAGUGUGAGUCAGUACUUUGUAAACCUAGUACACCACGUUCACAAAACAGGUAGGUUAGUGUUCGUAAACAGGUAGACAAUUUUGUCUCACAAAAAAAGUAGACCCACGCUUGUAAAUAAGCAGACCAGCCUUCGUAAACCAGGUAGACCUGCCAAGAAUUCUUCAAGUGUGUGAAUUCUGGACACUUCAGAGUUGGUCUACUCGUAGUUUGAGUCAGUGCUUCGUAAACCUAGUACACCACAUUCACAAAACAAGUAGGGUAGUGUUCGUAAACAGGUAGACCAUUUGUCUCACAAAAAAAGUAGACCCGUGCUCGAAAAUAAGCAGACCAGUCUUCGUAAACAGGUGGACCUAUCAAGAAUUUUUCAAGUGUGUGAAUUUUGGACACUUUAGAGUUGGCCUACUCGUAGUGUGAGAUUGUCCUUCGUAAACCUAGUACAUCGCAUUCACAAAACAAGUAGGUUAGUGUUCGUAAACAAGUAGACCAUUUUGUCUCACAAAAAAAGUAGACCCAGGCUCGUAAAUAAACAGACAGCCUUCGUAAACAGGUAGACCUGUAAAGAAUUCUUCAAGUAUCCGUGAAUUCUGGACACUCUAGAGUUGGUCUACUCGUAGUGUGAGUUAGUGAUUCGCAGCACAAGUACACCACGUUCACAAAACAGGUAGGUUUGGCUACGUAAACAGGUAGACCAUUUUGCUUCACAAAAAAAGUAGACCAUUUCUCGUAAAUAAGCAGACCAGGCUUCGUAAAUAGGUAGACCUCUCAAGAAAGUACACAUAAUAAAGUAGUUAAUAUGUUGUAAUAAAGUACACAUGUCAUGUGAAUAAUGUACACAUAAUAAAGUAGUUAAUACAUAGUAAUAUAGUACACAUCGUAUGUGAGAGGAUGAGGUUUUACAAUAAGGAGACAUAGGUUCUACCAACGGCUACGGCGGACACUUUCUGUUGCGAGGUUUUACAGUUCCGUGCACUUGUGGUUUUCCGUUUGUGUUGCUCUCGGUCGGUUCAAUCUUCACUUGCUUCAGGACUUGUACAUUCUUUUCGCACUCCUCAGUCUCUUAAUUGUUCUGAGGCUCUUCAAUCUUGUUUUCCAGUUUCUUAUUCUGUAAUCUUUUUUUGAUGUUUCUACACAUCAUUUGCCAUCUGCUGUUGUAUCUGUUCCUUAUCAAUUUCAAGGUUAGCUAUUUGCGAACCUCUUUUGAGUUAUACUGCAAUGCAUAAAUUUCAAUGAAGUUAAUGCCCAUGCCACUCAUUACCAUUCAAAUUCUCUAGUACAAAUGAAAAACAUACCUCAGUCCAUCACUCUUCAUCAUACUGCUCCAUGUGUUUGAUUGUAAAGAUCCCGCAGUCAUCAGUACCCUCUUGUUUGGGACAUUGUGGCGGCUUAAAAAUGGGAAAAUCUUCAAAUUUCUUAGUCUUCUUCACAAGAUGGCCGAAAAUAAUGUCAAAGACAUUCAACUGUUACAUCAUGACAGAAUAACCAUGCAACUGAGUAGACAAUGUUGCUGGGAUUAUGAACACAAAAGGCUUCGUGUGACUUACAAUAUCUUUGCAGUGAUCCUUGCGUGAUUUUUUGUCUCAAAGGCUAACCCAGUAUUCUCCUGUCUCGUUAUCUAUACACACAACAAAGACAUACCAAUGAUCUGAGUCAUGGAUUGGUAUGAACAUCUGUUAAAAAAAAAAUUCUUAAUGUCAGACAUCAUACAAAAUCCAAAUAUCACUCAACCCUAUUGAUUAUAAAAACAACUGCAAACUAACCUUUUUGCAAUGAGGAAGGUAUUUACUGUAACUUUUUACCCACAUUUUCUUUGGUGUAGGAACUUUUCCUACCGGUUUUUCAUACGUACAAUAUGAUUUUAGCUUGUUGCUGAAAAAAGUGUGGAAAUAAACAUUGUCGCCAGUGCUACUUGCAAGUAGAUAAGAGGCAAAUAUGGUCACAACCUCAUCGUUAAGCCAUGUGUUCGGUAGGAGAGUCCUUGCCCUCUUACAACUCUGACCAUUGCACUCAACAAGAAUCAAUUCACUGCCAACUCCAUUAUAAACAUAAUCCAGGACUGCUUCGUCAUCCACAUCCAUGAUAACAUCAAUCUUAAACUCCCUAACCUUCUGCUUCUCAACAUAAACAUUCUUGCAGGGGGCCUCCUUCUCAACAUUCUUGCAGGAGUCAGUAAGAUCAAUUAUUUUUUCUUCUUCCCUCUGUUUCUCAACAUUCUGGCAUGAGGCUUCCUUCUCAACAUUCUUGCAGGAGUCAGUAAGAUCAAUUAUUUUUUCUUCAUCCUUCUGUUUCUGAACAUUCACCCAUGAGGCCUCCUUCUCAACAUUCUUGCAGGAGUCAGUAAGAUCAAUUAUUUUUUCUUCAUCCCUCUGUUUCUCAAUAUUCUGGCAUGAGGCUUCUUUCUCAACAUUCUUCCCCAUCUCAUAAGUUUGUGAAACCUUACUCGGUUUAAAGAUAUACCUACAUGGACUGAUCACCGAUGAUUCAGAUGAAAUAUCCACGGGUGUUGAAUUCUUUGCCGGCAGCUCCGGUGACACCUAAAAGGAGGAUCAAUGUAAAUUUUAUGUAAAUUUAGGUGAAUUACUAAGCACACAAUUAUGAGAAGGCAAAUAAUCCACAUAGGAAAGAAACAACAACUCAUACCUACCCAAAUAAUACACAGAAACAUGACACUCCCCUGUAAAAGUAGACUUCAACAACUAUGUUUGUAGACCAAAUAAGUUGUCAACUUGUCAUGUUAGCACACAUUUUCGCUGUUACAAUAGCCAGUUUCUGGACAUAGAAUUCAACCUAUAAUUAUUACAGACAUGCUUAUAAGUUAUAACAUUCAAAAGGAGAUGUUGUGAGUGUCACAUCCCGACCCUUAUAUUUUCACCUUAUUUACUAGCCUGAUUAUAAUAAGAAUUUUACCGUCUCGAUCAUUGAGUAAAUAGUUUAAUUGGUCCCUAGAAGGGUUUCGGAGACGAUUAUGUGCGGAGGAUUAUUAGUAUGAGGAAAAUACGACGACGGUAAAAAUGGUAAAUUUUAGCUAGUAAAAGGUAAUUUUUAUUCGGGUUAUUAUUUUUCGGGUUGUUUUAUUUUUNNNNNNNNNNNNNNNNNNNNNNNNNNNNNNNNNNNNNNNNNNNNNNNNNNNNNNNNNNNNNNNNNNNNNNNNNNNNNNNNNNNNNNNNNNNNNNNNNNNNNNNNNNNNNNNNNNNNNNNNNNNNNNNNNNNNNNNNNNNNNNNNNNNNNNNNNNNNNNNNNNNNNNNNNNNNNNNNNNNNNNNNNNNNNNNNNNNNNNNNNNNNNNNNNNNNNNNNNNNNNNNNNNNNNNNNNNNNNNNNNNNNNNNNNNNNNNNNNNNNNNNNNNNNNNNNNNNNNNNNNNNNNNNNNNNNNNNNNNNNNNNNNNNNNNNNNNNNNNNNNNNNNNNNNNNNNNNNNNNNNNNNNNNNNNNNNNNNNNNNNNNNNNNNNNNNNNNNNNNNNNNNNNNNNNNNNNNNNNNNNNNNNNNNNNNNNNNNNNNNNNNNNNNNNNNNNNNNNNNNNNNNNNNNNNNNNNNNNNNNNNNNNNNNNNNNNNNNNNNNNNNNNNNNNNNNNNNNNNNNNNNNNNNNNNNNNNNNNNNNNNNNNNNNNNNNNNNNNNNNNNNNNNNNNNNNNNNNNNNNNNNNNNNNNNNNNNNNNNNNNNNNNNNNNNNNNNNNNNNNNNNNNNNNNNNNNNNNNNNNNNNNNNNNNNNNNNNNNNNNNNNNNNNNNNNNNNNNNNNNNNNNNNNNNNNNNNNNNNNNNNNNNNNNNNNNNNNNUUGCGGCAUGCAUUUCGAUUUUUUCCUUAGAAAUUAAUGGGGAAACAUAAAUAUUUUAUUUAUUAUUUUAUUUUUGUCCACUCACUCUGACGUUAUUAAAUGUUUUCCCCUGGGCCCUUCGUUUUAAAUUGCCCAGUCUGCAGAGUUCGGGUUGGAUCUAGUAGGAGACGAGGCAUAGUCACCCGCUUUUCGGCCAGUUUUCGCCAGUAGGUUACCUGUUCAACCUACUCGUAUUUUCUUGAUUCCGCUUGUGUUUAGUAGCUCUGAAUACUUUAGAAUUUUUGUAUAUUAUGUGAUGUUCAGAAGUGUAAUAUGAAAUUUUCGAGUUAGGGUUGUCCAUCUACAAGGGAGAUUUUCUUAAUCUUUUCAGUAAAUUUUCCUUGGAGGUGGUCCCCGCACGACUUAUUCUGGGUUUCAGGGUGAAAUUCAGGGUGGGUCGUGUCAAACAAUGUGUCUCUAAUUCUCCACUCUCUCUUCCUCCCUUCCCUUUAUUCACUUGAAGCAACAUCUAUUUAUAGGGCAACAAUGAUCUUCAUUCAAUUUCAACUCCAUGUGAAAAUGAUUCUCCAUUUCUCAAACUUCUCAAGUUUGAUAGCUAAAGUCUCCAUCCAUAAAUGCUUCCAUACAUAGCUUCAUUCUCUCAUUUUUCAUGUGAAUGAAGAGAAGAUACGUACAUAAUCUUUGAACAAUUGAAGAUUUAGUUCCUAGAAUCAUGCUUGCUUGCUUGCUUCUUGCCUCCUUGUUUCAUGGCAUAUGUCCUUGGAAAUUCUUCAUACUCUCUUCUGUUUGUAUCAAUGCAUCUAUAUACCUAUGAAUCAAACAAGCAAAAGUGAAUUCAACAAUGGAUGCCAUGGUAAUAUUUCCACACAUCACACUUAAUGCAUGAGAAAAUAAUCCACCAAUUUAACACAUGCAUAUAUGCAUACAAGCUACUAGAAUAAGAAGAACAUGUGUUGCAAUUAUUCAUCUAAUUAAAGGGAAAAAGACUCAUGUUAAAACAAAGACUCAAUUUACUAUAUGAAAAUAGGUAAAUUGCUACUAUAACUUUAACAUUCUAUUUAUUUAGACAAAACAUCUAUAAGAACACAAAAGCAAACUAAACAACUCAUACUAAUUAAAACAAGUAACUAACACAUAUAAAUCAGGGAUAAUAAUAUGAUAUAAAAUGUGCUCAUCAAUAC
rnacentral:lncRNA from 1 species